rnacentral:sRNA from 1 species
GGUGGUCUAGAGUAAGGUGUGAUGAGACCUAAAGGUAUCGGAAGCUCAAUUUGAAAGGCCUCAAAUGCCAAGCUGAGUUUAGUGGCAUUUGAGGCCUUUCCAUUUGGGCUUCCGAUACCUUUAGGUCUUGUAAGAUUAGUGGGAGCCACUGAAGGUGUUAUGAAGGACAGCAGCGAAUGUCCACGUGCACAUUCAGACACAUGAACAGACACAGCAGACUUCCUGCUGUACAUACUUUGAAACCAAAGUGGAAAUUCAGGUUCUGAACUUGUGUGAGGCCCUUGAGGUGCAGCCCCAGGGAAAGAGGGGCUGGGUUUCCAGCUGCGCUACUCUUGCCCUGCAGACAUAGAUGAGUGCAGCCAGGACCCGGGCCUGUGCCUUCCCCAUGGGGCCUGCAAGAACCUUCAGGGCUCCUAUGUGUGUGUCUGCGAUGAGGGCUUCACUCCCACCCAGGACCAGCACGGUUGUGAGGAGGUGGAGCAGCCCCACCACAAGAAGGAAUGCUACCUGAACUUCGAUGACACAGUGUUCUGCGACAGCGUAUUGGCCACCAACGUGACCCAGCAGGAGUGCUGCUGCUCUCUGGGGGCCGGCUGGGGCGACCACUGCGAAAUCUACCCCUGCCCAGUCUACAGCUCAGCCGAGUUCCACAGCCUCUGCCCAGACGGAAAGGGCUACACCCAGGACAACAACAUCGUCAACUACGGCAUCCCAGCCCACCGUGACAUCGACGAGUGCAUGUUGUUCGGGUCGGAGAUUUGCAAGGAGGGCAAGUGCGUGAACACGCAGCCUGGCUACGAGUGCUACUGCAAGCAGGGCUUCUACUACGACGGGAACCUGCUGGAAUGCGUAGACGUGGACGAGUGCCUGGACGAGUCCAACUGCCGGAACGGAGUGUGUGAGAACACCCGCGGCGGCUACCGCUGUGCCUGCACGCCCCCGGCCGAGUACAGUCCCGCCCAGCGCCAGUGCCUGAGUCCGGAAGAGAUGGACGUGGACGAGUGCCAGGACCCGGCAGCCUGCCGCCCUGGCCGCUGCGUCAACCUGCCGGGCUCCUACCGCUGCGAGUGUCGCCCGCCCUGGGUGCCCGGGCCCUCCGGCCGCGAUUGCCAGCUCCCCGAGAGCCCGGCCGAGCGUGCCCCGGAGCGGCGCGACGUGUGCUGGAGCCAGCGCGGAGAGGACGGCAUGUGUGCUGGCCCCCUGGCCGGGCCUGCCCUCACCUUCGACGACUGCUGCUGCCGCCAGGGCCGCGGCUGGGGCGCCCAAUGCCGACCGUGCCCGCCGCGCGGCGCGGGUAAGGCAGUCGGGGAGGAUGGGGGCCAGGGCCCGGGGACCCGGACGUCGCUGACCAGUUCUGCUCCUCCCAGGGUCCCAGUGCCCGACAUCGCAGAGCGAGAGCAAUUCCUUCUGGGACACGAGCCCCCUGCUGCUGGGGAAGCCCCCAAGAGAUGAGGACAGUUCAGAGGAGGAUUCAGACGAGUGUCGCUGCGUGAGUGGCCGCUGUGUGCCGCGGCCGGGUGGCGCCGUGUGCGAGUGUCCUGGCGGCUUCCAGCUCGACGCCUCCCGCGCCCGCUGCGUGGAUAUCGACGAGUGUCGAGAGCUGAACCAGCGCGGGCUGCUGUGUAAGAGCGAGCGCUGCGUGAACACCAGCGGCUCCUUCCGCUGCGUCUGCAAAGCCGGCUUCGCGCGCAGCCGCCCGCACGGGGCCUGCGUUCCCCAGCGCCGCCGCUGACGCCGCCCUCGGCCCAGACCUCGGUGAUCACUGAGGGAUUUCCGCGAGCUCGGCCUCACUCCUGCCCCGACUUGUGGCUCGGACCCAGGGACCUUCGGGGCCCGCAGACCCUCCGGGCGCCUUGAGACCCGAGGCGCCCCUACCAGCCCCCCUCCCCGGUUGGUGAGAGGUUGUAAGGUCUCCGGCGGGCGCUGCCUGCCUUCCUCCCUCCCAGAGGGUGUUUCCUAGAAACUGAUAAAUCAGAUCGUGCCUCUUUAC